AUCAGAAAGGCUCAUCUGGGUGCUUCCGCAAGGAGGCGUAAAAGGGAACCCUGUGCAAAUCAGGGACGGGCCCGCCGCUGUAACCGGUGACAACUUCCGCAGAUUGCCACUGUCCUUUAGGGACGGGAAGGCGCGGAAGGCGAACGAACCGGAAGUCAGAAGACCUACCCGGGUGCCUGGCAUGCAG
rnacentral:ncRNA from 23 species